rnacentral:rRNA from 1 species
GACGAACGCUGGCGGCGUGCCUAAUACAUGCAAGUAGAACGCUGAAGAGAGGAGCUUGCUCUUCUUGGAUGAGUUGCGAACGGGUGAGUAACGCGUAGGUAACCUGCCUUGUAGCGGGGGAUAACUAUUGGAAACGAUAGCUAAUACCGCAUAACAAUGGAUGACACAUGUCAUUUAUUUGAAAGGGGCAAUUGCUCCACUACAAGAUGGACCUGCGUUGUAUUAGCUAGUAGGUGAGGUAACGGCUCACCUAGGCGACGAUACAUAGCCGACCUGAGAGGGUGAUCGGCCACACUGGGACUGAGACACGGCCCAGACUCCUACGGGAGGCAGCAGUAGGGAAUCUUCGGCAAUGGGGGCAACCCUGACCGAGCAACGCCGCGUGAGUGAAGAAGGUUUUCGGAUCGUAAAGCUCUGUUGUAAGUCAAGAACGAGUGUGAGAGUGGAAAAUUCACACUGUGACGGUAGCUUACCAGAAAGGGACGGCUAACUACGUGCCAGCAGCCGCGGUAAUACGUAGGUCCCGAGCGUUGUCCGGAUUUAUUGGGCGUAAAGCGAGCGCAGGCGGUUUGAUAAGUCUGAAGUUAAAGGCUGUGGCUCAACCAUAGUUCGCUUUGGAAACUGUCAAACUUGAGUGCAGAAGGGGAGAGUGGAAUUCCAUGUGUAGCGGUGAAAUGCGUAGAUAUAUGGAGGAACACCGGUGGCGAAAGCGGCUCUCUGGUCUGUAACUGACGCUGAGGCUCGAAAGCGUGGGGAGCGAACAGGAUUAGAUACCCUGGUAGUCCACGCCGUAAACGAUGAGUGCUAGGUGUUGGAUCCUUUCCGGGAUUCAGUGCCGCAGCUAACGCAUUAAGCACUCCGCCUGGGGAGUACGACCGCAAGGUUGAAACUCAAAGGAAUUGACGGGGGCCCGCACAAGCGGUGGAGCAUGUGGUUUAAUUCGAAGCAACGCGAAGAACCUUACCAGGUCUUGACAUCCCGAUGCUAUUUCUAGAGAUAGAAAGUUACUUCGGUACAUCGGUGACAGGUGGUGCAUGGUUGUCGUCAGCUCGUGUCGUGAGAUGUCGGGUUAAGUCCCGCAACGAGCGCAACCCCUAUUGUUAGUUGCCAUCAUUCAGUUGGGCACUCUAGCGAGACUGCCGGUAAUAAACCGGAGGAAGGUGGGGAUGACGUCAAAUCAUCAUGCCCCUUAUGACCUGGGCUACACACGUGCUACAAUGGUUGGUACAACGAGUUGCGAGUCGGUGACGGCAAGCUAAUCUCUUAAAGCCAAUCUCAGUUCGGAUUGUAGGCUGCAACUCGCCUACAUGAAGUCGGAAUCGCUAGUAAUCGCGGAUCAGCACGCCGCGGUGAAUACGUUCCCGGGCCU